AUCUCUUCUGCAGAGAAAAUGGUGAUAUGUAAACUUUUCCUUCUCUCUUUCUUUGCUACCAUAAACAGAUUAACUGAGGCUAACUCUUUUCUAAUGUGGGCUCAACAAUAUGCCACUAGGUUACAGAAAAAUAAUUACUGGAUAUGUGGAAUAUUACCCCUUUGCAGCACUUCUGGACAAGCUUGGUGGGUAUCCCCCUUACAAGGAAAUGACUCGAUAAAUUUACAAUCCUUAAUGCUACAACAAAACAAAGAAAUACCCUCUUUACAAAAUGACUCUUGUGCAGAUGUUAAUGUAUGGCCUAUAAAUGAAACUUUAUCACAACCUGGUCAUGGAAAGAUUUUCACGUUAAACCAGACCAACCUUCAGACUUCCACCACUGCUAAAUCCCAUAUAGGCCCAUCUAAUUCUCUCCUUCCACCACCCGCACCAUCAAUAUGUCAUGGAUAUAAAGAUGGUUACUAUCAGAUUUGGGAUGGAGAUUUAUGGCUCACUCCCACUAUUGGGCAUUUAAACCAAAAAGCCCCAAUCUGUUGGGAACAACAAAACCAUACCUAUGACACAUGGCCUAAUGCUACUCAAGAAUUAGGAUGGACCCCAGAGUCACAAUGCCAACAAAUUAUAAUUCUACAAGCCAAUGAUUGGUUUGGAACAAAUUGGCUCUCUAGACCUAAAAUUAUUUGGCCACCACCCAAUGAGAAUCAAUGGAUAUGUGGAACUA
rnacentral:lncRNA from 1 species